UACGAAGGGUGCUAGCGUUGUUCGGAAUCACUGGGCGUAAAGCGCUCGUAGGCGGUUUUUCAAGUAAGGGGUGAAAUCCUGAGGCUUAACCUCAGAAUUGCCUUUUAAACUGUAAAACUAGAGUGUCGGAGGGGAUAGCGGAAUUGCUAAUGUAGAGGUGAAAUUCGUAGAUAUUAGCAGGAACACCGGUGGCGAAGGCGGCUAUCUGGACGACAACUGACGCUUAGGAGCGAAAGCGCGGGGAUCAAACAGG
rnacentral:rRNA from 1 species